AAAAAAAAAACAAAUGAAGUCUAGGAUGUGAAUGCCAUUUCAAUUCCUUCUCCCUGAUCAUCCUCUAGCAAUGUCAACAAGGAGGGAAGAAGCCAAAAGACGGACAACAGCAGGACAGAGAUGGAGAAAAAGUCUGCCCAGUAGACAAUGAGAUGACCCCUGAAUGGAGAAGAAUUGAUUGGAAUGUCAUUUUAUGUGAAGAGAGUCCUUUUCUCUGAGGAGAGCAACCACUUUAUAUUCUCAUUUAAUCCCUCAAGACCUGUGCUUUUAUUGGUACGGAAGCCUCAGUGAGAAGACUCCCUCUUUCAAUACAGUGUGGCAGGCAGAGCCAUCUCCCAGGCACACACCACAACGAUCUUCAGUGGCAUUGGAA